ACGGGAGGCAGCAGUGAGGAAUUUUGCGCAAUGGGGGCAACCCUGACGCAGCAACGCCGCGUGAGUGAAGAAGGCCUUCGGGUCGUAAAACUCUGUCAGCAGGGAAGAAGUUAUGGGAUGUUAAUACGCUUUCGUAUUGACGGUACCUGCAAAGGAAGCACCGGCUAACUCCGUGCCAGCAGCCGCGGUAAUACGGAGGGUGCAAGCGUUAUUCGGAAUUAUUGGGCGUAAAGGGCGCGUAGGCGGCCUGCCAGGUCAGAUGUGAAAGCCCGGGGCUUAACUCCGGAAGUGCAUUUGAUACUGGUAGGCUUGAGUAUGGGAGAGGAAAGCGGAAUUCCUGGUGUAGAGGUGAAAUUCGUAAAUAUCAGGAGGAACACCGGUGGCGAAGGCGGCUUUCUGGACCAAUACUGACGCUGAGGCGCGAAGGCGUGGGUAGCAAACAGGAUUAGAUACCCUGGUAGUCCACGCAGUAAACGUUGAUCACUAGGUGUAGCGGGUAUUGACCCCUGCUGUGCCGCAGCUAACGCAUUAAGUGAACCCGCCUGGGAAGUACGAUCGCGAGAUUAAAACUCAAAGGAAUUGACGGGGGCCCCCCACAAGCGGUGGAACAUGUUGUUUUAUUCGACCCCACGCGAAGAACCUUACCUGGGUUUGAAAUCUCGGGAAUCUUUAAGAAAGUAGAGAGUGCCCUUCGGGGAGCCCC
rnacentral:rRNA from 1 species